rnacentral:rRNA from 1 species
UACAGAGGAUGCAAGCGUUAUCCGGAAUUAUUGGGCGUAAAGAGCUCGUAGGCGGUCUGUCGCGUCGGCUGUGAAAACUCGGGGCUCAACUCCGAGCUUGCAGUCGAUACGGGCAGGCUAGAGUUCGGCAGGGGAGACUGGAAUUCCUGGUGUAGCGGUGAAAUGCGCAGAUAUCAGGAGGAACACCGGUGGCGAAGGCGGGUCUCUGGGCCGAUACUGACGCUGAGGAGCGAAAGCGUGGGGAGCGAACAGG